rnacentral:sRNA from 2 species
CUUUAAUUAUCCUCCGUUUCUUGAGAAAGUACAGAGCGCGUCAGCAGGUUCGUUCUCGCAACAUUUUGUCCGUCUUCCCUGUGCUGCUCUUGGAUGUUCAGGCAGGUGGGGCAUGUGGUUAUUGGAGCCCUAGACUUUCUCUGAUUGUCUAGCGGCGCUCACCACAUCUUAGCCCAACAGCCAACGACCAAAGUCAACUACACCAAGUCCUGUGGUGAACAACGGACUGAUCACAACUACAUAUGGCCAAGAUGGACUAAAUGGAACGCCUGCCGACUCUUGCAAGCGAAAAAACCCAUUUUUCUAGAUUUGCCAUUGGGAUAUACCGCACCGCUAGCCACGUUUGAGCCACCACAUCUACUCUGCUUUGGCAACAACAACUUCGCCUCCUCAAUCUCCAUCUGGAAUGGAGAGUAAGGAUGAUGUGUGGGCCAGUUUAGAGUUUCCUUCAGGAAACUCCACCGCACAAGAUCAGCCAGAUCUUGGUACUGACGAUGGAAAUUGCUCCAACGAAACAAGGAUCCACUUUUCACGCUUUUUGACCUUUCGAAUUUGUGGGUUGGUUCCUGAAUACUCGUAAAAGAGUUCCAACGGCGCGACAGGGUAUGAGCAAACCACGUCUUCCCAAUCACCAGGGUUUAGAACAACAUGUUAGAUAGAGUCUUCAGCCUCAGCGAUCAUACCAUAAUGGAUCAAAUUGUACGGAGUUGGUAGCUGGGCAUCCAAUGUAACUUGAUAUUCGGGGGCGCUUUCUUCCCAACGCCAUAGUGACCAAAAUAAAAAUUAGG